GUUUAAUCAUUUCUAGCGCUUUCUCAAUACAUUUCCAUGUACAAAUUAUGAAGUCUAAUCUGUACUGAACCUCAAAAAUUUUCCUCAUGCAAUAUAGCUAUGCAGUCGUCUGAUUAAAUUCCACCUCAGACCUGAGUCACAUGCGAGAAAAGUGCUUCCAAUUUGACAAUACCAAACAGCACAGGUUUUCUCUAAGUACACCAGUUUCCUGACGUAGAAACACUACAGGAACCUCAGAGAGAGAUGUUUGGAACUGAUAGAGCUUCCAAUGUAAACAAACUUUGUUUGAGAACGAAUUUUUAAAUGUCGGAAUUGUUGGCAAAGUGUUUUUUCCGCUUUGUACAGUUAGGCUUCGAGGUGGCCGUUUUUUUUAAUGCCCGCUAAUAAGUAGACUAAUAAUGACGGCAAGUUAGGAAGUGU